AGAAUCUUCUUCUUCCACUGUCAGACGAGAUGCUAGCUUAAAUGGACCAUUGGACUGACCCAACAUGAUGACAUCAGCAGACAGACAUGACACUCGUCGUACGAUUGGCUCCUAAACAGAAGAGCAUGGCUGUAGAGCACUCCAGUUGCACAACCCUCUUGUGCAAGGGUUCAGAUGAAGAUGUUCCUUUAUGAAUUUUUCUGCUCUGGCUGCAGCACAGCCUGGCCUCAGCUGCUGUCUCUGGAUGGGAGGGGAGGGAGGUCCACUCGGGGAUUUUCUAGACCCUACUGGAGUGGGGGUAGAGGGGAAUGGAUUGGAGUCCCUCACCUCAGAGGGAGGGGGCUCCAAUUUGCCCACUCCACUCCAGCAGGACUGAGAAUCCCAGAACAGGCCUCCCUUUCCUUCUGCCUUCCCUCUCCCUUUCCUAUCCAGAGAUAGCAGCAGACCUGCAAGAGUUGGGGGCUGAGGUAGGGGGAAAGGCUGCAUAGACACAGAUUCUCUCCUUGUAUUGACUCGAAAUUGAAGCCAAUCCUCUACUCUCCCAGUGCAACAGCUAACAUUCUUUGGGUCAGGAGGACUGAUCCAAUUCAUGGUGCUUUCUGUGAAUCGCCAUGAGUUGCACCUGGGAACUUCUGUCUGUGCCCCUAGUGACUGUUUUAAAGCAGUAAUUCUGAACCAGGGUUCCAUGAUACUGAUGCCAUAAGAUCUUUUUAAGAGGGUUCUAGAAUGCCAAUUAAGUGAUUCAAAAGAUAAACCAAACAGUUCCAAAUAAGCAUCCAUAGUCUCAAAAGCAUUUCAACCUAUAUAGUCUUUCCGGUAUUUAAUAAUUUUUGCCCCCCCCACCAAUAGUCAAGAAGCACAUGAAAGCUAAGAUCUGACUUGAGGCACCCCUCUCAGAGGGGUCCCCUAAGUCGAAGAGGUUGAGAACUACUGGGUUAAAGUAUUUAUACAAGUAAAUUUUCAGUCUAAAAUUCUUUAGAAGGCUGAAUGGAGAUUCAGACCUUUUUGUUCCCUUGGGGGGAAAAAAAAAAUCUGUUUCUGUUCCAUAUUCCUUUUAAUAAUAUCUGGAUCUUCUGUUAAUCCAAUAUGUGGGAGCUUGCACCCCCUUAAUUUGUAUGCUUAAAUCUGGAGGAGUUGCUGUUUUAAAAUUUGCAUGCAAGUAAGUCUGGCCUGAUGGCUUCAGUUUUAAUUAAAAGCAGGAUAUGAAACUUUUAAGGGGAAAGAACAGAAUUCCACUUCUUUGAAGCAGUUUGUGGGGGGGUGAGGAGGUGUUUUGCUUCUGGCUUGUUGCCUGCCUGAAUUGCAGGGCAGCAUUUGGGUGCAGGGAACCAUACAAGCAUACAGCCUUAGCAGGGAUCCAACAUGGCAUGGGGUGGGGAAAGGCUGGAGGGAGGGGAAGACUCUGCCUCCACCUUCCCAGCCCCUGCCAAUCCCUGCCUUCAUUCACUUAAAAGCCUGCAAAGCUCUCUGGGCUACAUGCUUUAGGAACCCCUGGCAGCUCAGUGUCCACAAUGCAGGCUCACUCUGGUUCUCUGAACUUCUGUACAGGUCAGUCUUUCUCUCGGGGAAAGAAAAGCAAACCUGGUAGAGUAGUUGUGGAUGAUGUGAUUUUAAUUUGUGUGUGCAGCUGAAGAUGGGAUGUUCUAGAUUGCAUGGGAGAACACCAAAUCCUACAGCUAUGGGGGAUGUGACUUGCCUAUUGCAUAAGAAACUCCAGUACACAGUUUGAAGGAUGGAGCGUGCUAUAAGUGACAGUGUUACAGAAGACCAACAUACCUUUGUCCCACUUUACCUCUUACCAAAAAAGAAAUAUUGGAGACUCUCUGAAAUUGAAGUGAUUAAAGACAACUCGUACUUUAACCAGUUUAAAAUCUCUGGCUAUUUGUUUUGGGCUUUGU